GGUUCUCAGGUUGCUGGGGCGGCUUGUUUGAACUGUUUGGACCACAGGUUUGAACUGUUUCAACGGGAAUCAUGGCAAAUCCACUUGGAGGCUUAUUUAAACCAAAGUCCCGCUGGCGGGAAAAGAUAACGGACGGAGCAGCACUGCGUGGCCUCGCAAUCCCAGCGACCCGACGAGCUCGCGAAGUGGUGCUUGGAAAACUACCCUCCCAAAGCCGACGACGCGCACUCGCACGUACAUGCGCAAGCGAUCACCUCUGUGGACAGCGAAGAAACAUCGUCGCACUGUGACAACUUUGUUGGCGUUCGUUUCAUAAAACCCGUUCUAUAAGGAGCUUGUGUCCACCCUGAAAGGCCUGACGAGCCACGUGCUCGUAUUCAAGCUGGUGCCACGAGGUGGGCCUUUCGGGCAUGCCAGGGAGGAUGAGAGGCUGUCCCUGAACCGCCUACUAGUACGGAAGGUGUUGCCCUCGGCGUUACCAUCGUGAAUGUCGACCACGUUGCUCCAUCUCCCAACAGAAGCACCAAACACUGCUUUCGGCCAUCUGCGUCCUGACGCAGGUUGCUGAUGCUUUGCAAAAACAAAGCUGCACCUUUCGAUUCCACAAGGUAACACCCAUCACUAAUGUAGUUUGACAGAACCUUCAAGCUUGCCUUGUGCAGGUGUUACUCUUUCCAGAGAAUUCUACCGCUAG